UACAGAGGGGGCAAGCGUUGUCCGGAAUCAUUGGGCGUAAAGCGCGCGUAGGUGGCUUCGUAAGUCCGUUGUGAAAGUCAAAGGCUCAACCUUUGAAUGCCGAUGGAUACUGCGAAGCUAGAGUACGGAAGAGGCGAGUGGAAUUCCUGGUGUAGCGGUGGAAUGCGCAGAUAUCAGGAGGAACACCAAUAGCGAAGGCAGCUCGCUGGGACGUUACUGACACUAAGGCGCGAAAGCGUGGGGAGCGAACAGG
rnacentral:rRNA from 1 species